CCUAUGCACACUCUCUCACUCUACAGCUCCUAGCCAUGCAUUACCUCACAAACACAACACAACUGAAACCAACCUAUUUACACAGCAUCACACCACAAUUAACUCACUCUACACACACGCAAUCCCACAAGCAGGCUCUAAACACAUGCACAGUACUCUUUCCUUGCCCUUUUGUCUCCUAAUAACACAGUGCAAGCAUGUUAAUAAAAAUGCUUCUUCUGUGCAGAACAAAUACUGGGCCUUUUUCUCAUGCUAGAGCUCUUCACCAGAGCUUUUGUGUAAGGG